CCGUCAUCCUGGCAUUUUCUCCUUUUAACCAGUGCUAUGAAGUCGGAGCCAUUUGCUGUCCCUUUUACAGAUGAAGACAUUGAGGCUCAGAGAGGGAACCUGAGUGGUGAACAGUCCGGGUGCCAGCUCCUACUGCCUCACUCCUCCUAGGUCUCCUCCUGGGCUCCAAGGUGCUGCUGCUGGUUGAUGUCUCUGCUGCCUACGUCCACCGGAAGCAGAAGGCCUGACUCUCCUUUCCUCCUCCCCCGCCAUGUGGGACCCUCAGUCUGUGCUGCCUCCUUCCUUCCUUGAAGGGCUCAGCUGGAGAGAAGGAGCUGGCGAGAAGCUUCCCCAGACUCAGCUCCAAAUGCCUAUCCUCCCAGGACAUCUUCCUGCCCACAGGCUCCUGUUACUCCUUUGCAGAGUCCUUGAUGCUCCAUAGCAGGGUCUUCAUUCAUGGUCCUGAGCAGAGGCCAUGGGAUGGGGCUCUGGGGAGUGACUCACGACACCUCCCUAGGAUGUGGGAAACAUGCCAAAUCUAAACACAUUAGGACUCCUUGCAUCCAUCGCCUUGGGACUGGCCAUAAACCAUAGACUCUCUCUAGCCUCUCAAGAGUUAUUCUGCCAUCUGGAUUCCUGCCUACUCCAACUUCCCAGCCUUGGUGAGGUUCACUAUUGCCUCCUGAAUACAAACGAACCCCCAUCCCAAUUUUAAGAAAAAAAUGAUUCUCCUUCCUCUUUGUCUCACACCAAGAAAGAAAGAAGCUCUCCCUGCUUUCUCUGUGAUGGGACACUAGUUCUGCUAGCAUCCUGCAGCCUUCCCAGCCUUGCUGCUCGUGGUAGAAAUGCUGCCACAGUCCAACAUCCUGGAGUCCUCCUUGAUUUCUCACUCUCUUUUUUUUAUACUCUGCAUUCAAUUCUGCCUUUGAAAUGCUUAUGUCCACUUAUAUGAGACAGUAAAUGUUUA
rnacentral:lncRNA from 1 species